rnacentral:rRNA from 1 species
GCAUAUCAAUAAGCGGAGGAAAAGAAACUAACAAGGAUUCCCCUAGUAACGGCGAGUGAAGCGGGAAGAGCUCAAAUUUGUAAUCUGGCGCCUUCGGCGUCCGAGUUGUAAUCUCGAGAAGUGUUUUCCGCGCCGGACCGCAUACAAGUCUGUUGGAAUACAGCGUCAUAGUGGUGAGAGCCCCGUAAUUGAUGUGGAUGCCCGGUGCUUUGUGAUACACUUUCGAAGAGUCGAGUUGUUUGGGAAUGCAGCUCAAAUUGGGUGGUAAAUUCCAUCUAAAGCUAAAUAUUGGCGAGAGACCGAUAGCGAACAAGUACCGUGAGGGAAAGAUGAAAAGCACUUUGGAAAGAGAGUUAACAGUACGUGAAAUUGUUGGAAGGGAAACGCUUGAAGUCAGACUUGCUAUUCGGAAUUCAGCCGCAAGGUGUACUUUUCGAUUUGCAGGCCAGCAUCAGUUUUCGGGGGUGGAAAAGGGCUGAAGGAAGGUAGCAAUUUCGGUUGUGUUAUAGCUUUCAGCUGGAUUCAUCUUUGGGGACUGAGGAACGCAGCGCGCUUAUUGCAAGUCUUUCGAGACUUUCGUGCUUAGGAUGCUGGUGGAAUGGCUUUAAACGACCCGUCUUGAAACACGGAC